AUUGAACGCUGGCGGCAGGCCUAACACAUGCAAGUCGAACGGUAACAGGAAGAAGCUUGCUUCUUUGCUGACGAGUGGCGGACGGGUGAGUAAUGUCUGGGAAACUGCCUGAUGGAGGGGGAUAACUACUGGAAACGGUAGCUAAUACCGCAUAACGUCGCAAGACCAAAAAGGGGGACCUUCGGGCCUCUUGCCAUCGGAUGUGCCCAGACGGGAUUAGCUAGUAGGUGGGGUAACGGCUCACCUAGGCGACGAUCCCUAGCUGGUCUGAGAGGAUGACCAGCCACACUGGAACUGAGACACGGUCCAGACUCCUACGGGAGGCAGCAGUGGGGAAUAUUGCACAAUGGGCGCAAGCCUGAUGCAGCCAUGCCGCGUGUAUGAAGAAGGCCUUCGGGUUGUAAAGUACUUUCAGCGGGGAGGAAGGGAGUAAAGUUAAUACCUUUGCUCAUUGACGUUACCCGCAGAAGAAGCACCGGCUAACUCCGUG
rnacentral:rRNA from 1 species